UACAGAGACUGCAAGCGUUAUUCGGAUUCACUGGGCGUAAAGGGUGCGCAGGCGGUUGGGUGUGUCAGGUGUGAAAGCCCGGGGCUUAACCCCGGAAUUGCGCCUGAAACUACAUGAUUAGAGCAUUGGAGAGGGUAGCGGAAUUCACGGUGUAGCAGUGAAAUGCGUAGAUAUCGUGAGGAACACCAGAGGCGAAGGCGGCUACCUGGACAAUUGCUGACGCUCAGGCACGAAAGCGUGGGGAGCAAAAGGG
rnacentral:rRNA from 1 species